rnacentral:rRNA from 1 species
AUUGAACGCUGGCGGCAGGCCUAACACAUGCAAGUCGAACGGUAACAGGAAGAAGCUUGCUUCUUUGCUGACGAGUGGCGGACGGGUGAGUAAUGUCUGGGAAACUGCCUGAUGGAGGGGGAUAACUACUGGAAACGGUAGCUAAUACCGCAUAACGUCGCAAGACCAAAGAGGGGGACCUUCGGGCCUCUUGCCAUCGGAUGUGCCCAGAUGGGAUUAGCUAGUAGGUGGGGUAACGGCUCACCUAGGCGACGACCCCUAGCUGGUCUGAGAGGAUGACCAGCCACACUGGAACUGAGACACGGUCCAGACUCCUACGGGAGGCAGCAGUGGGGAAUAUUGCACAAUGGGCGCAAGCCUGAUGCAGCCAUGCCGCGUGUAUGAAGAAGGCCUUCGGGUUGUAAGUACUUUCAGCGGGGAGGAAGGGAGUAAAGUUAAUACCUUUGCUCAUUGACGUUACCCGCAGAAGAAGCACCGGCUAACUCCGUG